rnacentral:rRNA from 1 species
UUAAAUUGAAGAGUUUGAUCAUGGCUCAGAUUGAACGCUGGCGGCAGGCCUAACACAUGCAAGGCGAACGGUAACAGGAAGAAGCGUGCUUCUUUGCUGACGAGUGGCGGACGGGUGAGUAAUGUCUGGGAAACUGCCUGAUGGAGGGGGAUAACUACUGGAAACGGUAGCUAAUACCGCAUAACGUCGCAAGACCAAAGAGGGGGACCUUCGGGCCUCUUGCCAUCGGAUGUGCCCAGAUGGGAUUAGCUUGUUGGUGGGGUAACGGCUCACCAAGGCGACGAUCCCUAGCUGGUCUGAGAGGAUGACCAGCCACACUGGAACUGAGACACGGUCCAGACUCCUACGGGAGGCAGCAGUGGGGAAUAUUGCACAAUGGGCGCAAGCCUGAUGCAGCCAUGCCGCGUGUAUGAAGAAGGCCUUCGGGUUGUAAAGUACUUUCAGCGGGGAGGAAGGGAGUAAAGUUAAUACCUUUGCUCAUUGACGUUACCCGCAGAAGAAGCACCGGCUAACUCCGUGCCAGCAGCCGCGGUAAUACGGAGGGUGCAAGCGUUAAUCGGAAUUACUGGGCGUAAAGCGCACGCAGGCGGUUUGUUAAGUCAGAUGUGAAAUCCCCGGGCUCAACCUGGGAACUGCAUCUGAUACUGGCAAGCUUGAGUCUCGUAGAGGGGGGUAGAAUUCCAGGUGUAGCGGUGAAAUGCGUAGAGAUCUGGAGGAAUACCGGUGGCGAAGGCGGCCCCCUGGACGAAGACUGACGCUCAGGUGCGAAAGCGUGGGGAGCAAACAGGAUUAGAUACCCUGGUAGUCCACGCCGUAAACGAUGUCGACUUGGAGGUUGUGCCCUUGAGGCGUGGCUUCCGGAGCUAACGCGUUAAGUCGACCGCCUGGGGAGUACGGCCGCAAGGUUAAAACUCAAAUGAAUUGACGGGGGCCCGCACAAGCGGUGGAGCAUGUGGUUUAAUUCGAUGCAACGCGAAGAACCUUACCUGGUCUUGACAUCCACGGAAGUUUUCAGAGAUGAGAAUGUGCCUUCGGGAACCGUGAGACAGGUGCUGCAUGGCUGUCGUCAGCUCGUGUUGUGAAAUGUUGGGUUAAGUCCCGCAACGAGCGCAACCCUUAUCCUUUGUUGCCAGCGGUCCGGCCGGGAACUCAAAGGAGACUGCCAGUGAUAAACUGGAGGAAGGUGGGGAUGACGUCAAGUCAUCAUGGCCCUUACGACCAGGGCUACACACGUGCUACAAUGGCGCAUACAAAGAGAAGCGACCUCGCGAGAGCAAGCGGACCUCAUAAAGUGCGUCGUAGUCCGGAUUGGAGUCUGCAACUCGACUCCAUGAAGUCGGAAUCGCUAGUAAUCGUGGAUCAGAAUGCCACGGUGAAUACGUUCCCGGGCCUUGUACACACCGCCCGUCACACCAUGGGAGUGGGUUGCAAAAGAAGUAGGUAGCUUAACCUUCGGGAGGGCGCUUACCACUUUGUGAUUCAUGACUGGGGUGAAGUCGUAACAAGGUAACCGUAGGGGAACCUGCGGUUGGAUCACCUCCUUACCUUAAAGAAGC